CCUAACGACCAAUAUAACCACAAAAUAUUAAUAACAAAACACGGCCUCACACCAAAAAUUAAACCAUUUUUUUACCUGAGUAUGGGAGACAGAAAAGGUUCAACCCAGAGCGAUAGAAAAAGUACCGCAGGGGAACGCUGAAAGAGAAAUGAAACAACCCAUAUUAGUAAUAAAAAACAAAGAUUAAAUCUU
rnacentral:rRNA from 1 species